rnacentral:lncRNA from 10 species
GCUGAGCUGGAGUAGGUCUGGAGGCUGGGUCAUGGGCCAGGGUUUCAGAUUCACCCAGAUGCCUUGGAUAAUUUGUUUUGGAAAACAUAUAUUGAAGAUAUCAGAGCCACAGUAUGACAGAAGACUAGGUCCCAGAAUCACAACUGGAAGGAAAGUCAUGCACUAAUGAAGAAAACAAUUCUUAAGGCUUAUAUGAGCUGAAAACAAACUUCUGUCAUGUUGCUGCCUUUAUCCAUUUUUAAAAGAUGUUUGUCAUCAGUAGUGCUACUCUAAUAAAAUACAU